rnacentral:rRNA from 1 species
GACGAACGCUGGCGGCGUGCUUAACACAUGCAAGUCGAACGGAAAGGCCCUGCUUGCAGGGUACUCGAGUGGCGAACGGGUGAGUAACACGUGGGUGAUCUGCCCUGCACUUCGGGAUAAGCCUGGGAAACUGGGUCUAAUACCGGAUAGGAGCCAUUUUUAGUGGGAUGGUUGGAAAGUUUUUUCGGUGUAGGAUGAGCUCGCGGGCUAUCAGCUUGUUGGUGGGGUAAUGGCCUACCAAGGCGGCGGCGGGUAGCCGGCCUGUGAGGGUGGACGGCCACAUAGAGACUGAGAUGCGGCCCAGACACCUACGGGAGGGAGAAGUGGGGAAGAUUGAACAAGGGGCGCAAGCCGGAUGCAGCGGCGCCGCGUGGGGGAUGACUGCCUUCGGGUUGAAAACUCCUUUCGCUAGGGACGAAGCUUUUUGUGACGGUACCUAGAUAAGAAGCACCGGCUAACUACGUG